AAAAACGAGCGCAGCAGGCGAGAAACUUUACAAUGCGGGCAACCGUGAUAAGGGAACCUCGAGUGCCUGUAUAUGCAGGCUGUCCAGGUGUCUAAAACACACCUGAAGAAAGGGCCGGGCAAGACCGGUGCCAGCCGCCGCGGUAAUACCGGCGGCUCGAGUGGUGGCCGCUUUUAUUGGGCUUAAAGCGUUCGUAGCUGGGUCGUUAAGUCUCUUGGGAAAUCCGGCAGCUUAACUGUCGGGCGUCUAAGGGAUACUGGCGACCUUGGAACCGGGAGAGGUGAGGGGUACUUCAGGGGUAGGAGUGAAAUCCUGUAAUCCUUGAGGGACCACCUGUGGCGAAGGCGCCUCACCAGAACGGCCUCGACAGUGAGGGACGAAAGCUGGGGGAGCAAACCGGAUUAGAUACCCCCGUAGU
rnacentral:rRNA from 1 species